GCCGGGGUAGCUCAAUCGGUAGAGCGUGUGGCUCUUAGCAAGCGUAAGCGCACUGUUCAACCUCAAGGUCGCGGGUUCGAGCCCCGCCUUCGGCU